ensembl:lncRNA novel transcript
GUCCAGGAGCAAAGUGGUGGCAGGACUGGACCCAUGCCAGGUCCCAGCCAGUCCGUUCCUCUCCGCAUGGCCCAGCCGCUGGGCUCUGGAAGCUGCAGGCAGGGUCCCUUGCAAGCCGGUGGCCUCAGCCCCAUCUCUUUACUUCUCUGCAACUUGUUUUCUCUAUGUGCAAGCUGUGACUAAUCACACCUCCCUUCAGGGGAUUUUCACAGGUUUCAUAAGUGAAGUAAGUGCCUAUUUUCUUUCUUUCCCUGUGUGUACCUUGUAUACCACAGAUGGACACGUGUCUAAAAUACCUAUUUUGUCAGUCUUUUCCUCCAACUCAGAAACACCGAGAGCCCUCCCCAAUCCCAGCAUUUCUAUCAGGAAAAGGCUAACAUGCCACCGGCAGCAAAGAGCUCAGUGUCACCAGACAUCAUUUUGCAGAUAAAGAAAGGAAAUCCCCGGGUGGCUGAAAAUCUCCCCAAGUAUGGGCCCAGGGACCUUGAUGGGUCAGGUCUCACUGCAUCCUGUCCCACUCUGUCCCAGCAAACUUUCUUCUCCAGUCAAAACUGGUCUCACUCUCUGAGGAACACCUGUGCCGACACUCAGGCACAGCCUAUGGGGAACACUGCUCCCUGCCCUCUCCCACCCAAAUCAACACACCUUCAAAGGAACAGAACACUUCUGCGCCUGGCAAGGCUCCCUUUCCUCUGCCUCCUCCUUCACAGAGACUUUGGGAUUGUCCUCUGAUGACAGAGUGCCCUGCCUCCUGAUGGAGUGACGCUGGGAUUAGAGGUGGGAUGGAGGAUGCCUGCUCACACCUCCCAGAUCAUUCACCAGGGGGCAGGGCCAGGCCAUCAUCCCACUGCGUUCAUCUUGGCCAGGUGCGAUGGCUCACACCUGUCAUCCCGGCACUUUGGGAGGCCAAGGCAGGCCAAUCACUUGAGGUCAGGAGUUUGAGACCACUCUGGCCAACAUGGUGAAACCCCCUCUCUGCUAAAAAUACAAAAAUUUGCUGAAUGUGGCGGCACGUGCCUGUAAUCCCAGCUACUUGGGAGGCUGAGGCAGGAGAAUCACUUGAACCUGGGAGGCGGAGGCUGCAGUGAGCCAAGAUCGCGCCACUGCACUCCAGCCUGGGCUACAGCGUGAGACUCUGUGUCUCAAACAAACAAACAAACAAAGUUUGAAACCACUGUGUUCAUCUCACACCUUGCAGAGAGAUAUAUGCCCAGGAUGGGGCUGAAUAAAAAGCUAAUAAUAAUAGCCACCACCUGUGGAGAGCUUCUCUUGGACCACGCAUUCUGCUAAGUCCUUCUCUUGUAUGAGGACCAGUUGUGCCCAGAGAACCUUCUCUGUCUCCUCUAACCAUGGGAUAAAAGGAGAUUUCCACAAGAGCGGCUCAGGGACGCAGCCCAUCUCUUAAGAAGGAGGCUCUGAGAGGGACAAGACCAUGGAUGCAGCACAUGGCCACAAGGCAGUUUCAAGAUGCCCAUGUCAGGCAGAGGAUGGCUCAGUGGUCUCUAACCCACCUAACAUUUCAUGAACUUUACUCCUGGUCCCGCUCCCAAAUUAGACACUGGAGAUAAUGG